UACAGGGGGUGCAAACGUUGCUCGGAAUUACUGGGCGUAAAGGGCGCGUAGGCGGAUAUUUAAGUCGGGGGUGAAAGCCCAGGGCUCAACCCUGGAAUUGCCUUCGAUACUGGAUAUCUUGAGUUCGGGAGAGGUGAGUGGAAUGCCGAGUGUAGAGGUGAAAUUCGUAGAUAUUCGGCGGAACACCAGUGGCGAAGGCGACUCACUGGCCCGAUACUGACGCUGAGGCGCGAAAGCGUGGGGAGCAAACAGG
rnacentral:rRNA from 1 species